CGCUGGCGGCGUGCCUAACACAUGCAAGUCGAACGGAGUUACUCUCCAGCUUGCUGGAGAACUAACUUAGUGGCGCACGGGUGAGUAACACGUGGGUAACCUACCGGAAAGACUGGGAUAACACCCCGAAAGGGGUGCUAAUACCGGAUACCUUUAUAAGUUUGCAUGAACUUAUAAAGAAAGUUUUUUCGCUUUAGGAUGGGCCCGCGUCCCAUUAGCUAGUUGGUGAGGUAACGGCUCACCAAGGCGACGAUGGGUAGCCGGCCUGAGAGGGUGGACGGCCACACUGGGACUGAGACACGGCCCAGACUCCUACGGGAGGCAGCAGUAGGGAAUAUUGCGCAAUGGACGGAAGUCUGACGCAGCGACGCCGCGUGAGCGAUGAAGGUCUUCGGAUCGUAAAGCUCUGUCCUUGGGGAAGAGGCGAAAGCUUGACGGUACCCAGAAGAAGCCCGGCUAACUACGUGCCAGCAGCCGCGGUAUACGUAGGGGCGAGCGUGUCCGAAUACUGGCGUAAGGGUGCGUAGCGGCCUUACGCUGGAGUAAGCCGCGCUACCCGAUGCAUC
rnacentral:rRNA from 1 species